rnacentral:tRNA from 1 species
GAGAUUAUAGCUUAGUGGUAGAGUGCUUGCUUGGCAUGCAUGAGGUCCUGGGUUCAGUCCCUGGUACAUCCA